CUGGAGCUUGGCUUCUAGAUCAUCUCUUGAUUUUAGAGGAGUUUUGUAAACCUGCCUUUCAGCAAUCCCAAGAUCCCAAGUUCACCUGGAUUGCUGAUUCUUGCCUAGGUUGAAUGUAAUUCUCGCCUUGACCCUAUAAAUACAACUUUGCUAAAGAUGGCAGACUGUGGAGGACUGCCCCAAGUAGUUCAG